ACAGGGUGCUUUUUUUUCCUCAGCACUUAGAAAACUUUCUCAGUGAGUUUUUUUUAGGACAUUAUAACAGAUUCAAGUAAAAUAGUUACUACAUAUUUGGGUAUAACUAUAAGUUGCUUAUUAAAAACUAACUAAGAAUUGGUAAAUUUAUACGUCCAAAUAGUUUAACAUGAUAAAAUAUAAUUAAAAAUUUUAAAAAUAAAUAUUAUUUACGAACCAGGACAACCAUUAUAUUAAAUAAUUUAAAAUUUACCAAAUAAAUAUUAUUUUUGAACCACGACACCCAGUAUAACAUUUGGUAUGUAACUCACGUACAUAGGACUCUUUUACGCCUUUCUAUGUGUGCGUGUGUGCAUGCAUGUAUGUAUGUAUGUUUGUCUAUGUAUUCAGCUGACUUGCACCCACGCACGUUUAUGGAUAGAAAAUUUCUCAAUUUCAAAUGCAAAUAUU
ensembl:ncRNA lncRNA:CR45625 long non-coding RNA:CR45625